GGCUUUCUGCUCUUGAGGACAAAGUGAGGAUUUGCCUCAAGUUCCCACUUGGGAGCCACAGGACCAACCCCUACCCUCCCAGAAACAGGAAAGGUAUCCAACUGGAAUAUGGCUAGGAAGAAAUCCAAAUCAGCAGCACUACAGUGGAUUAACUUGUCAGAGAGGAGGGGAAAACACCAUCACUUACGCAGAUCAGAAAUUGCAACCACUGCCCAAAGUUGUCUGUGUACAGUGCCUGGCAAUACACAGGUUUUGCUACUUCUGUUCCUACAAAAACUAACAACAGCUGGAAAGCAAGAGAUUCUGCUGACUAUGAGUAAAGCCCAUCCAAAAUAAAAAACACAUGAAUCUCUGAAGAAAUAAACUGCUUUCUUCUGAAAGACAGUAUUAUUGAUGCUACAUUGCUCUGCACAAUGCAGCAUGAACCCCACAACACCUGACUGGUAUCAGAAAUCAUUAUUCUUUAUCUGCUGCCUGUCAGUACCACCUUUUGGGUCUUUGUCCAGUAUUCUCCCUCUCACACACAACUGAAGGAGGAAAAUCUUCCUGAUUUUUAAGGGAAAGGUUCAGUUUUUUAAAAAUGUUAGGUCUAUGAGGAGUCAGUCCUUUAUUCCACUUCUUGCCCUCUUUCAAGGGCUCUAUUUUCAUACAGCCUUUCACUGCCAUCAUACUAUAGUUACCACUCUUCUUUUGGCUGUUGUUAUCAUCCCAUAGCAGAGAAAGAAUAAAAUUUUAAUAAACGAGAGCUCUGAUACUGAAAACACACAAGAAAACUGCCACCUCUGAGAAAAACAAGGACUGUGCUAAGUGAAGCAAAAGCAGUGAUUAAAGACAAUGCACAUGAAACAGGCUAGACCAAAGAGAAGAAACACAAAAACAUGGAAAAUGUUCUUUUAUACCAGCCUCUAAAACACAUGAGACCCUGGAGUGAUUUCACAGGCACAAGGAGUACAGUAACUCCCCAUUUCCACUAGUUUAUACCUUGGGUCUUCUGGAGAAUUUUGCUGAUCCAUGGGAAUGUGUAUGGGAGCCUGACCCAGGACUAACAAGAUGAACUCCCAAGCUUUUAGGGUUCACUGGGAAUUAAUUACCAGCUGCUGCCCCUUGUGGCAGGCAGUUCAUGGAAGCGCCAACCUGCUCUCCCCAUUCACAUGCAACACACAGCAAUGCUCUAAGAAAGGGACUCAAAUGAAAGAGAAAAUGUCCACCCUCCCUCAUCAAUUUACACCCUGCAAUAGUUGCACACAGGAAAUCAGUGAUAAGCUCUAUGAAUCAUCUGAGAGCAGUGUGGACCCCAUGGGUAAUAUUAGCCUGUAAUUAUUAAAUCAAAGACCUUGGAAUUUGCUUAUCUAAACUCUACCUACGAGCUUCUAUGGCAUGAUCUAAAUUGCUGCCUUUCAUGGCAUCUUAGCUUCUAUGCAGCAUUCAUCAGGUG